UACGUAGGGUGCAAGCGUUAUCCGGAAUUGAUUGGGCGUAAAGAGCUCGUAGGCGGUUUGUCGCGUCUGCUGUGAAAACUGGAGGCUCAACCUCCAGCCUGCAGUGGGUACGGGCAAACUAGAGUGCGGUAGGGGAGAUUGGAAUUCCUGGUGUAGCGGUGGAAUGCGCAGAUAUCAGGAGGAACACCGAUGGCGAAGGCAGAUCUCUGGGCCGUAACUGACGCUGAGGAGCGAAAAGCAUGGGGGAGCGAACAGG
rnacentral:rRNA from 1 species